AGAGUUUGAUCCUGGCUCAGGACAAACGCUGGCGGCGUGCGUAACACAUGCAAGUCGGACGGGAGCGCCUCCUUCGGGAGGCGCUCUAGUGGCGGACGGGUGCGUAACACGUGGAUAACCUACCCGCCGAUGGGGGAUAGCUCGCGGAAACGCGGGGUAAUACCGCAUAGGGUGCUCUGGUCGCACGGCCAGGGCAGCAAAGCGCCUUGGGCAACUGAGGGGCGUCAGCGGAGGGGUCCGCGGCCGAUUAGCUAGUUGGUGUGGUAAGAGCGCACCAAGGCGACGAUCGGUAGCUGGUCUGAGAGGAUGAUCAGCCACACUGGGAUUGAGAACGGCCCAGACUCCUACGGGGGGCAGCAGUGAGGAAUAUUCGGCAAUGGGGGCAACCCUGACCGAGCAACGCCGCGUGGAGGACGACGCCCUUCGGGGUGUAAACUCCUUUUCUGGGGAACGAGAACGGACGGUACCCCAGGAAGAAGCCUCGGCUAACUACGUGCCAGCAGCCGCGGUAAUACGUAGGAGGCGAGCGUUGUCCGGAGUUACUGGGCGUAAAGGGUGCGCAGGCGGUCGCCCGCGUGUGCGGUGAAAUCUCCCGGCUCAACUGGGAGGGGGCCGUGCAGACGGGGCGACUUGAGGCUCGCAGAGGGGCGUGGAAUUCCGGGUGGAGCGGAAAUGCGUAGAGAUCCGGAAGAACACCGACGGCGAAGGCAGCGCCCUGGACGAGACCUGACGCUCAGGCACGAAAGCUGGGGGAGCAAACAGGAUUAGAUACCCCCGUAGUCC
rnacentral:rRNA from 1 species